UCCUGAUCCAGACCCCCCCACGCAACCAUCGCCACACAUGGCUCCAACAUGCGGCCACGCCGGCCUUCAACUGUUCUCCUCCGUCGGCGAGCAGCCACGGCUGUCCUCCGCCGAGCCGCCCUCUCCCCCGACCUCCAACCGCCAGCACGGCCCGCCUCCAAUCACCGGAUCCCGCCACACCGCGGCCCCGCCCCACCGCCAAUGCCGGGAUCUCGCUGCCACAACCAACACAACCCCCACGCAUCGUCGGGGAACCCCACACCUCCACCACAGCAGGGAUCUUGCCGUCGCGAGCCCCACACUCCCGCACCGGUGAUGCGGCACCGCGAGACCUAGAUCAGACCGUCGUGCCUCAUCCAGCCACUACACUGGCUCGACACCUGGAUCCGGCCGCUGCCCCACCCCUGCACCCAGAUCCAGGUCCCCGACCGUCGGUUGCCGCCGCCACACCAGGCCCUUCCCCCUCCAUGCUUCUUAUCCCGGUGCCUGGGAGGAACCCCCACUACCGAGCCCCUUGGCAAGCCGGUUAGCACUCCCUCCCUCUCCCUACGACCGUCUAGCUCCAGCCAUAUGAACUUCCUCCGACAACACUCCCCUACAGUGUGAUUUUCACUGCCAUGCAUCGAUGAGUAGCCAAGGUGCUUCUCCUUCUCGCCUAGCAGUUUAGAGUAUUUAUAUAGAAGAAGAAAAAAUGGCACCUGCACCGGAGCAGCAGGACGGCUCCAGCGACCAAGGGCCUCCCUCUGCCAUCUCUUAAGUGAUUUUUUAUGUCUGAAGUUCAGCUAUACCUGCAGGUGCAAAAAAUAGGUGUGUUGGUCCAUUUGUUUUAGUUUGACAAGUCGGUUUUCUUCCAAGUUUAUCUCCAAAAUCCAUCGACGUCGUGGAGUUCUAAUCCUUUAGUUUCUGUGAAGAAGAAGAACGACAGCGGCAUAUUUCUCUGAACUUCCCAUUUGGCCACAACUAGACCCCAAGAAAAGUGCAUGUAUAGGGUACUGUUACAACCAAAAUAUGAUGUAAAAUGCAGAGACGAAAAAAGUGAAUAUAUUGAGUAGUUUCUUUUAUUUUC